UACCAGAAGCUGCUCCAAGGUAGAGAACCUUAGCGCCAGGUUUAAUCCAUAUAUUAUCGACACCACCUAGAAUAGCAGCUGCCAAUUUUGAUCGAAAGGGGUUCCAAAUCCUGUAUUCGACUUUUGUUCCAUCUUCAUUCUGCACAGCAAUCCUCUUCUCAUUAUAGACAGCCUCGCCAGGAACUAGAUUCUUAGUGACAAGAGCAUCUUCUUUACCACCCUUAGCAAUGAAUACUCCUUCAUGUCUAUGAGGCUCUACUACAACUUUGCUCCCACCUUUCAUUCCACCACCAC
rnacentral:misc_RNA from 1 species